GACGAGGGAGCACAGACUCACCUCAGUAGCAGAACAGUGGAGCGGCUGAGAAGCUGGGUUUCUGAAAUCACCCAUUCACGAUGUCCAUAAUCCUGCCCACUCUUUUAAGGGGGACAUCAAAUAAAAGCUGGAAGCCAAGAGGUCUCUGGGAAAGCCCUCCUGUUGAGGACCGCAGGAAAAACCAACCGCGGAGGAGGAUGUCAUCUUGGGAUUGGCCCUUCGGAGGGAAGAGCACUGCUUUAAACAAACAGCCAAACAGGAUUCGAGUGAUGCUUUGAGAUGGCUCAGUUCCCUGCAUUGUGUCUAGAGCCUCGAACGCAGCAGACGCUUAGCUCCAACGUGGCUGUAGUGGCUUCAUCCUCACAACUUCGGUCUUUGAACUGGAAGACUUUGGAUAACCGUCUCGUGGGCUUAUUCGCUGGCAGUUACAAAUCAGUCUGGUGGAUUCGUGUUCAGCUCACCCUGGGACACCCUUCCGCUAUUCCACAGACAUCAGGGACUGGGAGAGCAGGACACCAAGCUGAAAGGAAUUGAAAGCCCUGAGGAGCCAAGGAAAUCCAGGGAGGUCAGACGCCAAGUCUUACAUUUCCUCUGGAGAAGCUACUGAUGGCAGGAUUUUAGAUUGGAGGAGACUGGGCUGGCAUACCAUACAUGAAUUGAACUCAGCUUUGUCAAGCUUGGUGGCAGUCACCUUUACCUGCUGAGCCAGCUCAUCAGCCCAUGAUCUAUCUACCUUUGUAAAAAUAUGAAAAGGAGAAAACUGGAGCUGAAGAUGUGACUUAUAGGUUAAAAGCACUUGCCGCUCUUUCAGAGGACCCAGGUUCAGUUCCUAUCGCUCACAUGGUGACUCACGACCAUCUGUAACCCCAGCUUCAGAGGAUCUGAUACCCUCAUCUGGCCUCCACGAACACCAGGCACUCACGUGGUGCACAUACAUGUAUGCAAGCAAAGCAUUCAUAUGUAUAAAAUAAAAAUUAAUAAAUCCUUUCUUGAAAAUCCUUCAUUUUGCUGAUGGGAUAUACUUGCAUUUUAAUAGUAUUUUUUUGUAAAAUUAAAAAAUAUUAGAUUGUAAUACAAAAGAUGGAAUCAACUCCUCUUGGUUGUUCUUUAUAUGAGUGCCUUGGUACUCAAGGACCUACCGAUUGCUAUUAAAUAAAUGUUUACAAAUGCUUUUAAAAUAAAAAUAAAUAAAU
ensembl:lincRNA Gm19590 predicted gene, 19590